rnacentral:rRNA from 1 species
UGAGCAAUCUGCCCUUCACAUCGGGAUAACCCCCGGAAACGGGAGCUAAUACCGGAUACGACCACUUCAGGCAUCUGAUGGUAGUGGAAAGUUCUGGCGGUGAAGGAUGAGCUCGCGGCCUAUCAGCUUGUUGGUGGGGUAAUGGCCCACCAAGGCUUCGACGGGUAGCCGGCCUGAGAGGGUGACCGGCCACACUGGGACUGAGACACGGCCCAGACUCCGUACGGGA